UUGAGUCUGCGAUUUCCGAAUGGGGAAACCCAACUGCAUAAGCAGUUACUGUUAACUGAAUACAUAGGUUAACAGAGCAAACCGGGGGAACUGAAACAUCUAAGUACCCCGAGGAGAAGAAAUCAACCGAGAUUCCGGUAGUAGCGGCGAGCGAACCUGGAUUAGCCCUUAAGCACUCGGUGAAGUAGGUGAACAAGCUGGAAAGCUUGGCGAUACAGGGUGAUAGCCCCGUAACCGACGCUUCAUCGAGCGUGAAAUCGAGUAGGGCGGGACACGUGAUAUCCUGUCUGAAUAUGGGGGGACCAUCCUCCAAGGCUAAAUACUCCUGACUGACCGAUAGUGAACCAGUACCGUGAGGGAAAGGCGAAAAGAACCCCUGUGAGGGGAGUGAAAUAGAACCUGAAACCGUGUACGUACAAGCAGUAGGAGCACCUUCGUGGUGUGACUGCGUACCUUUUGUAUAAUGGGUCAGCGACUUAUAUUCAGUGGCAAGGUUAACCGUAUAGGGGAGCCGUAGCGAAAGCGAGUCUUAACUGGGCGCUCAGUCUCUGGAUAUAGACCCGAAACCGGGUGAUCUAGCCAUGGGCAGGUUGAAGGUUGAGUAACAUCAACUGGAGGACCGAACCGACUAAUGUUGAAAAAUUAGCGGAUGACUUGUGGCUAGGGGUGAAAGGCCAAUCAAACUCGGAGAUAGCUGGUUCUCCCCGAAAGCUAUUUAGGUAGCGCCUCGGACGAAUACUACUGGGGGUAGAGCACUGUUAAGGCUAGGGGGUCAUCCCGACUUACCAACCCUUUGCAAACUCCGAAUACCAGUAAGUACUAUCCGGGAGACACACGGCGGGUGCUAACGUCCGUCGUGGAGAGGGAAACAACCCAGACCGCCAGCUAAGGUCCCAAAGUAUUGCUAAGUGGGAAACGAUGUGGGAAGGCUCAGACAGCUAGGAUGUUGGCUUAGAAGCAGCCAUCAUUUAAAGAAAGCGUAAUAGCUCACUAGUCGAGUCGGCCUGCGCGGAAGAUGUAACGGGGCUAAGCAAUACACCGAAGCUGCGGCAAUAUCUUUUAGAUAUUGGGUAGGGGAGCGUUCUGUAAGCCGUUGAAGGUGAAUCGUAAGGUUUGCUGGAGGUAUCAGAAGUGCGAAUGCUGACAUGAGUAACGACAAAGGGGGUGAAAAACCUCCUCGCCGGAAGACCAAGGGUUCCUGUCCAACGUUAAUCGGGGCAGGGUGAGUCGACCCCUAAGGUGAGGCCGAAAGGCGUAAUCGAUGGGAAACGGGUUAAUAUUCCCGUACUUCUGACUAUUGCGAUGGGGGGACGGAGAAGGCUAGGUGGGCCAGGCGACGGUUGUCCUGGUUCAAGUGCGUAGGCUUGAGAGUUAGGUAAAUCCGGCUCUCUCUAAGGCUGAGACACGACGUCGAGCUGCUACGGCAGUGAAGUCAUUGAUGCCAUGCUUCCAGGAAAAGCCUCUAAGCUUCAGAUAGUCAGGAAUCGUACCCCAAACCGACACAGGUGGUCGGGUAGAGAAUACCAAGGCGCUUGAGAGAACUCGGGUGAAGGAACUAGGCAAAAUGGUACCGUAACUUCGGGAGAAGGUACGCUCUUGAUGGUGAAGUCCCUCGCGGAUGGAGCUGACGAGAGUCGCAGAUACCAGGUGGCUGCAACUGUUUAUUAAAAACACAGCACUGUGCAAAAUCGCAAGAUGACGUAUACGGUGUGACGCCUGCCCGGUGCCGGAAGGUUAAUUGAUGGGGUUAGCGCAAGCGAAGCUCUUGAUCGAAGCCCCGGUAAACGGCGGCCGUAACUAUAACGGUCCUAAGGUAGCGAAAUUCCUUGUCGGGUAAGUUCCGACCUGCACGAAUGGCGUAAUGAUGGCCACGCUGUCUCCACCCGAGACUCAGUGAAAUUGAAAUCGCUGUGAAGAUGCAGUGUACCCGCGGCUAGACGGAAAGACCCCGUGAACCUUUACUACAGCUUGGCACUGAACAUUGAACCUACAUGUGUAGGAUAGGUGGGAGGCUAUGAAGACGUGACGCCAGUUGCGUUGGAGCCGUCCUUGAAAUACCACCCUUGUAUGU
rnacentral:rRNA from 1 species